AACGGGUGGGUGGGAAGAGAGACCCAUAUAGGUCAGUAUGUUGUUGUGUAGGUCGGUGCGUUGUUGUGUAGGUCGGUGCGUUGUUGUGUAGGUCGCUGUUGUGUAGGUCGGUGCGUUGUUGUAUGGUGUGGCACAAGGAGCUGUAUGCAGUAGGCAAUAAGCACACAGGUUGAUGUAUCAUUUACGUGUAAUAUUAUUUGUGUCCACAGGGGGGCAGAGUAGGCCCUCAGCCCAGGUCAUGACUGAUGACCCAGAGCCCUGGGGGUUUAGAGGGGGUCUCUCCGGGGAGUUCCAGAGAAUGCUGCCUUGCCAUGGUAACAGAGAUCUGUUCCGUCACCCUCCUAUGACAUCAGUGUAUUCUAUACGACCCUUCUGCCCAGAAGACAAGACUGAGAUACAGAAGAUCCACAUGGAGAUGCAGAGAGGAGAGGCCAG